rnacentral:rRNA from 1 species
CGGAUCCCAUCAGAACUCCGAAGUUAAGCGUGCUUGGGCGAGAGUAGUACUAGGAUGGGUGACCGAGUAGUACUAGGAUGGGUGACCUCCUGGGAAGUCCUCGUAUUGCAUCCC